UAUUCAUUCGGCAGAAGUUGAGAAUCCUGACGCAGGUACCGUCAGAGUUCUCUUCUCCAGUUACCGCUGAGCGAAUUUCGCCAAGAGCACUCGAGGGGUUUUAUACAGUGGCCAGCCUGGAGAACCACUCGGUGUAUAUGGAGGAGCCAUGUUGUUGGGUUGUUGGCGUCGCUCUAGACCUGGGGGAUACGUGUAGCGGGUGAACGAGCCACAUUUACAUGUGGCCGUAAUAAUGGACAAAGUUUCAAGUGCGUCGCGGUUGCUGCCGAAGUGGGCAUUGUUGGCCCACAUGGUAGUUCCGAACAAACGGGGCCCGAUCGACUCUGCAUAAGGAACACACGGUUUAAGUUUUUCGUGCGCCAAAUGAUAUUGUCCAGAAGAAUUCUUUUGGGGUACGUUAAAGGGGUAACCGGAAGAAAAGUAUCAAACGCAGGAUCAUACUAGAUACGUAUCGUCAUUAUGUUAUUGUUCUCAUUAGGGAUGUCUACCUAUGGACCACGGUUAACAAUCCCACUUGAUUCCGUCAUUGGCGACGGAGUUCCUGAAUGAGUUCGUAACGAGAUGCACAGCCAGAGGGCUGGCCCACGCCUGUCAGGGGUUGCCUGCACGUGUCCUCAAUGGACCAAUCAAAGCUCACCCUCUUCUAGCCCACUGGCUUACGUAUAUUAGGCUAAUGUUACGUCCUACUCGUUCGUCGACGUUUAUCAGUGAGGAUCCUUUCUGAAGUGAUGGACCACACUUGGCUUCAGAAAAUAAGGGAUGAAAUUUACUUAUACGGUGCAAGAUCAUGGUACGCGUGGCUGAUCAAACCUUUGAAAGGAUCACGAAGGCGUACAAUUGUAAAUCCGCUAAAGGGGGUUGUUCGCUACCCCGUAAACAUAAGGGUGAUUUAAUUCGGCCUGUUGAGCUUUGAAGAUCCAAAAAUCCAUAAUGCCCAAUGGGUCUGUUGUGGCACCCUGGAGAACUUCGGUGGUAAGUCGUACGACUAGCUGAAGUGGGAACUGUAGAACUUCGCACGUUACCCAACGAGCGUUUAAUCGUCGUUUUGUUCGACGAAUAAAAGAGCCAGAUUACGAUACAGUCUGCGCGUAAUCAAUGGGAACGAGCAUAUUAGGUCGUCCCAUAAAUUAUUUCUUCACCCCAUAGAUACGCCUGACGUUCACCCUCGUUGGAUGAUACAAAAAAGACAUAAAGUUGCGCUAGCCGUGGCCGAGCAUGGAAACCAACAGAACCAACCGCCAUCGUUACAACACUCAACAACGUCUCUGGACUUACCAGCAGGUCUUGUAACAUCACAAACCCCCGGAGGACUACGUACCAGCCGAGGAAGAUCCAGUUGGGGGAACCGAAAGGAAGUUGAAGAAAAAAGUCCCCAAACAAAACAAAACCCAAUUCUUAACGAGCGUCCCAGCGGUGGAAAAAGAUUCCAAAAAAUAAUACUGAAACAGUACUCGAACCGAUAGUAAAGUACCAUAAAGAAUUCUGCAUACAAGUACCAGUGGUACCAGAACCACCCCAUAAGAAAUACUACUAGUAUCAAAGCCGAUGUUGUUAUACAAUAGUAUCCAAUACCAGUGCCAAGUGCUGUAGUAUUUGCUAUAGUAGAAAGGAGAGUUACUGUACCGUUAUACACGGGGACACGUUACAUGCAGCACUCAUAGAAAUAGGGUAGGGUAUAAAAAAAGAAAGGAAGGGGUGGAAAUAUCUCCACCCCUCUCUUCCUUGUCAAAGAAUAAAAUUCUCUUUCUCUUAUACCAGACGAUAGCAUUAGGGGGCAUUACGUUUAAAUACACUUAGGAUCAAUGACUAUGGCUUGACGCAAGGCAAAAGCGGCCUCUCGUUUGUUGACUGCGGAAUAGCAUUAGCAAUAGCCCAAUUGACUGCAUCUGUUGACUAACUGACUUGACUGACUGACUGACUGGACCGGUCACCGGGUGACCUCGCUCUUAUCAAAUGCGUUGAUGCAAUAAAUGUCGAGAGGUUGAUUUGUUAUGUAUUUACGUAGUUACAUGCGAGAGGGUGGUGCGCUGUGCGGCAAAGAACUUGUUAGGAGUACUUUUAUAUUUUAUUAUUGCAUACGUAGUAUACGCACUUGUUGCGUAAUACGUGGUUAUGGGUUUUGAG